UACAGAGGGGGCAAGCGUUGUUCGGAAUUACUGGGCGUAAAGGGCGCGUAGGCGGCCUUCUAAGUCGAACGUGAAAUCCCUGGGCUCAACCCAGGAACUGCGUCCGAUACUGGAAGGCUUGAAUCCGGGAGAGGGAUGCGGAAUUCCAGGUGUAGCGGUGGAAUGCGCAGAUAUCAGGAGGAACACCGGUGGCGAAGGCGGGUCUCUGGGCAGUAACUGACGCUGAGGAGCGAAAGCGUGGGGAGCGAACAGG
rnacentral:rRNA from 1 species